CGGCGGACGGGUGAGUAACGCGUGGGUAACCUGCCUUAUACAGGGGGAUAACAGUUAGAAAUGACUGCUAAUACCGCAUAAGCGCACAGUACCGCAUGGUAGUGUGUGAAAAACUCCGGUGGUAUAAGAUGGACCCGCGUCUGAUUAGCCAGUUGGCGGGGUAACGGCCCACCAAAGCGACGAUCAGUAGCCGACCUGAGAGGGUGACCGGCCACAUUGGGACUGAGACACGGCCCAAACUCCUACGGGAGGCAGCAG
rnacentral:rRNA from 1 species